UACGGAGGGUGCAAGCGUUGUCCGGAAUCAUUGGGCGUAAAGAGUUCGUAGGCGGUUUGUUAAGUUUGGUGUUAAAGCCCGAGGCUCAACCUCGGUACGGCACUGGAUACUGGCAGACUUGAAUGCGGUAGAGGUAAAGGGAAUUCCUGGUGUAGCGGUGAAAUGCGUAGAUAUCAGGAGGAACAUCGGUGGCGUAAGCGCUUUACUGGGCCGUUAUUGACGCUGAGGAACGAAAGCCAGGGUAG
rnacentral:rRNA from 1 species